GUACUGCGCUCUCAUUGGGCGGAUGCCAUGCGUGGCAACUGUGACGUGGGUGGACUGGCCAUUCUCCGUACACCUAUUAGAGCUCCUACAGACGACGUGAAGUUUUAGUUUCGUCGUGACAUUAGUGUGGUGAACUACAACAUGAAAAUACUGUGACUCUCUUGAAUGGCCACGGUUUAUUACUUUGGAAAAGUCGAACGCUGGAGCGAUAAAAAUAUACUCGAUGUUAUUUUACCGAAGAUUUUAAAAAUGUUUAAGGCGAAAUUGUCUGAAAUACGUAACAAGUUAAUUGUAUAUCUUGCUUGAGGUAAACAUUAAUGGAUACAAUUGACAUGGAUGAAGAAAAAUAGGAAGAAAGACUUGAGUCUGAGCAAACAGACAGAUUUCGGAAACAAAGUUGUACGAGAAUAAUUACUGGACAUUAUUAGAAAAUAACCCCACGGUGCAUAUGUUGCGGAAAAAGUGCUAAUAACCGUCAUAUGAGGAAAAGUACAAAGACGAGAGGAAUGAAAAGAGCAGAAAAGAUGGUAGAUAGGUGCACGGCUUUGUUUACAGAAGGGUGGUGUGGCAGCUGGCACCGUCUGCCAGAGCGUUCGAAUUUUAAAGAGACAGACUAGAUUGAGGCGACAGGUUGAAGAACAUACAUAUAUUACAACAACACAGGAUUUCCAACCUGAGUUUUGUGGCCUAUUGCUAAGAUUAGAAAUUUAUAUGAUAAUUAAUUGCUUUCAGGUGUGUCAUAGAGUUAUCACUGUGGGAUAGAUGACAGUAUGACAUGUUUAUGAGGUAAACUGUGACAUCAAAGAGAGUGUGCAGGGCCGAUAAUGCUUGCCAGUUCGUCAGAAAUCCAUGGCAACCACCAUUCAUAGGUAACUAUGAAUCAGCACCUUAUUUUGUGUCUGUAGUAGCUGUUGCGGGUGUUUGUCUCAAUGACUCAACGAGUUACUCAUGUCCCAAUUUAGACAUCUAUUUAGGAUACUAUUAGCCUAUUUGAAAGACUAUUAAUAUUAUUUUCCUCAGUGUGAACAACACAUCAUGGGCUAUUUCCUGGUCAUACUCAAAAGGACUAAGCCGCUUUAACGUCAUUUUACGUAUUACUCAUGUGUGAACUAAUUAGGCAUGACAGAUGACAGGCCGUGAGACGGGGAAAGAAGCGGGCCAGUGUGUCAAGGCGGCCUGGCCUGUACGCGGAUGUGUUCACCUCCACGACGCUCUCUUACAUCAUGAGUACGCGAUCUUCCUCAGGAACCACAUGCCGGGAUUGUGUCGCUGAGAUCAAAGGAUAAUUUGGACGGUGACGCAUCUGGGACGCCUUGUUGUCAGUGUCAUUAAUCACUUCAUCUUCGAGGAAUGUCUGGCAUGUAAGUCUAUUUAUUACUUAUUACCGAGUUCUGCGUAUACGAUCAAGGCACAUAUCCUCUGACUUCCUCCUGUUGCUUACUGUACGGAGAGAGGGACAUGUGGUCUGUUUGUGCUUUGGUAUAAUAAAUCUGAAAAUACGUGGAA
rnacentral:lncRNA from 1 species